CGAGUGAGCGGCAAAAGCUCAAAUUUGAAAUCUGGUACCUUCGGUGCCCGAGUUGUAAUUUGGAGAGGGCAACUUUGGGGCCGUUCCUUGUCUAUGUUCCUUGGAACAGGACGUCAUAGAGGGUGAGAAUCCCGUGUGGCGAGGAGUGCGGUUCUUUGUAAAGUGCCUUCGAAGAGUCGAGUUGUUUGGGAAUGCAGCUCUAAGUGGGUGGUAAAUUCCAUCUAAAGCUAAAUAUUGGCGAGAGACCGAUAGCGAACAAGUACAGUGAUGGAAAGAUGAAAAGAACUUUGAAAAGAGAGUGAAAAAGUACGUGAAAUUGUUGAAAGGGAAGGGCAUUUGAUCAGACAUGGUGUUUUGUGCCCUCUGCUCCUUGUGGGUAGGGGAAUCUCGCAUUUCACUGGGCCAGCAUCAGUUUUGGUGGCAGGAUAAAUCCAUAGGAAUGUAGCUUGCCUCGGUAAGUAUUAUA
rnacentral:rRNA from 1 species